rnacentral:lncRNA from 1 species
UGGCUGCUCCCCACCGGGGUCCUCUUGAGAUGGUGUUGAUGAUUCCGAUUAGAGGCUGAUCUUCAGGCUGUUCUUCCCUUCUUGGCGGCUCUGAUUGUGGUAGGGCCCUCGGCCAAUCUUUCCUACCUUCAGGCCGACGUCGGAUGAAUUUGUUGAGCCGACCUUGUCUGAUGAGCUUCUCAAUCUCAUCUUGGAGCUGAAUACACUCAGUGUCGUGGCUGUGGUCAGGAUGAUAAAGGCAGAACUUGUUAGGAUUGCACUUCUCGGGGUGUGUGUGCAUCUUUUUCG